UUCCCCAGGUGAGGCUCGAACUCACCCUCGGCAUUACUCGCAGAUACUGUCUGUACCAACCCUUAACCAAUUUCGCCACUGGGAC